rnacentral:rRNA from 1 species
GAUGAACGCUGGCGGCGUGUUUAAGGCAUGCAAGUCGAGGGAUCGGCCCUAUUUUUCUUCGGAAAGCUUGGGUACGGACCGGCAAACGGGUGAGUAACACACUAGUAACCUACCUUCGAGUCAAGAAUAGCCCAGAGAAAUCUGGAUUAAUGCUUGAUAGUCAUGAGGGGUCAUAUGACAUUCUCAUGUAAAGAUUUAUCGCUCGAAGAGGGGCUUAUGACAGAUUAGCUUGUUGGUAGGGUAAUGGCCUACCAAGGCAACGAUCUGUAGCAGGCGUGAGAGCGUGACCUGCCUCACUGGGACUGAGACACUGCCCAG